rnacentral:rRNA from 1 species
AGAGUUUGAUCCUGGCUCAGGAUGAACGCUAGCUAUAGGCUUAACACAUGCAAGUCGAGGGGAAACGGCAUUAUGUGCUUGCACAUUCUGGACGUCGACCGGCGCACGGGUGAGUAUCGCGUAUCCAACCUUCCCUCCACUCGGGGAUACCCCGUUGAAAGACGGCCUAAUACCCGAUGUUGUCCACAUAUGGCAUCUGACGUGGACCAAAGAUUCAUCGGUGGAGGAUGGGGAUGCGUCUGAUUAGCUUGUUGGUGCGGGUAACGGCCCACCAAGGCGACGAUCAGUAGGGGUUCUGAGAGGAAGGUCCCCCACAUUGGAACUGAGACACGGUCCAAACUCCUACGGGAGGCAGCAGUGAGGAAUAUUGGUCAAUGGGCGAGAGCCUGAACCAGCCAAGUAGCGUGCAGGAUGACGGCCCUAUGGGUUGUAAACUGCUUUUGUAUGGGGAUAAAGUCAGUCACGUGUGAUUGUUUGCAGGUACCAUACGAAUAAGGACCGGCUAAUUCCGUGCCAGCAGCCGCGGUAAUACGGAAGGUCCAGGCGUUAUCCGGAUUUAUUGGGUUUAAAGGGAGUGUAGGCGGUCUGUUAAGCGUGUUGUGAAAUUUAGGUGCUCAACAUCUACCUUGCAGCGCGAACUGGCGGACUUGAGUGCACGCAACGUAUGCGGAAUUCAUGGUGUAGCGGUGAAAUGCUUAGAUAUCAUGACGAACUCCGAUUGCGAAGGCAGCGUACGGGAGUGUUACUGACGCUUAAGCUCGAAGGUGCGGGUAUCGAACAGGAUUAGAUACCCUGGUAGUCCGCACGGUAAACGAUGGAUGCCCGCUGUUAGCGCCUGGCGUUAGCGGCUAAGCGAAAGCAUUAAGCAUCCCACCUGGGGAGUACGCCGGCAACGGUGAAACUCAAAGGAAUUGACGGGGGCCCG